AUAAUCACAAGGUGGUUUUCCAGGGCAAGUUCCAUCCUUUGAACUGAAGGUGUGCUGAUUCCUAUGAUUUCCCCAAAUGUGGGAAACUCGACUGCAUAGCUUGUGUCAGCUGGGGACAGCAUUUGCACUCCCCCCUG
ensembl:snRNA U1 U1 spliceosomal RNA